GGAGUUAGCCGGUGCUUCUUCUGUGAGUGAUGUCCUUCCUGCCGGCUAUUAACCCGCAGGCCUUCUUCCUCACUGAAAGUGCUUUACAACCCGAAGGCCUUCUUCACACACGCGGCAUGGCUGGAUCAGGGUUGCCCCCAUUGUCCAAUAUUCCCCACUGCUGCCUCCCGUAGGAGUCUGGGCCGUGUCUCAGUCCCAGUGUGGCUGAUCAUCCUCUCAGACCAGCUACGGAUCGUCGCCUUGGUGAGCCGUUACCUCACCAACCAGCUAAUCCGACAUAGGCUCAUCCGAUAGCGCGAGGCCCGAAGGUCCCCCGCUUUCCCCCGUAGGGCGUAUGCGGUAUUAGCCUGGGUUUCCCCAGGGUUAUCCCCCACUACCGGGCAGAUUCCUAUGCAUUACUCACCCGUCCGCCGCUCGCCACCAGGGAGCAAGCUCCCCGUGCUGCCGCUCGACUUGCAUGUGUUAGGCCUGCCGCCAGCGUUCAAUCUGAGCCAGAAUCGAACCCUGA
rnacentral:rRNA from 1 species